UACGUAGGGUGCGAGCGUUUGUCCGGAAUUAUUGGGCGUAAAGAGCUCGUAGGCGGCUUGUUGCGUCGACCGUGAAAACCCGGGGCUCAACUUCGGGCUUGCGGUCGAUACGGGCGGGGCUAGAGUUCGGUAGGGGAGACUGGAAUUCCUGGUGUAGCGGUGAAAUGCGCAGAUAUCAGGAGGAACACCGGUGGCGAAGGCGGGUCUCUGGGCCGAUACUGACGCUGAGGAGCGAAAGCGUGGGGAGCAAACAGG
rnacentral:rRNA from 1 species